GGAGGAUCGUUGUGAGUUUGAGACCAACCUGGGCUACAAAGUACAUUCUCAGUCCCAGUUUCUGAGGCUGAAAAAGGAUCCUCAGGUAGCUACACUGUGUUGGACAGCCUGGUUCCAGACUUGGACCUGGACCCAGAGUAUAUCAUUCAUGUUAUUUCCCAGUGGUGCUGGACGGAUCACACAGGCCUGCUUCACCUGUCUUCUGUGUAGGUUUCAUCUAAGAAACCUUUGGCCGUUAGUGAAGUUGGAGUACAAGAACAUUCAGAAUCCAGUUUAGGUAGCCUGGGCAUAAUCUCAAGUACAGGAGGGACUGCAGAGAUUGCAAAUUGAAAUUGACCUGUAUAUACUCUGCUGGGAAACAGGAAAACAUGUUCAGUUUGGGUAAGACUCAGGUGGAUUUCUUAGCCAGUGUCUUGGUUUUAGACUUUGAAUCACAAAUAAAGUUGUUUUAAUUGAC